rnacentral:tRNA from 2 species
GGGGGAUUAGCUCAGUUGGUAGAGCGCUUGAAUGGCAUUCAAGAGGUCAGGGGUUCGACUCCCCUAUCCUCCACCA